rnacentral:misc_RNA from 1 species
GAUGAAGAACGUAGCGAAAUGCGAUACGUAAUGUGAAUUGCAGAAUUCAGUGAAUCAUCGAAUCUUUGAACGCAUAUUGCGCUCUCUGGUAUUCCGGAGAGCAUGCUUGUUUGAGUAUCAGUAAACACCUCAACUCCCUUUUCUUUUUUGAAAUUGGAGCUGGACUUGAGUGAUCCCAACGCUUUCUUCCAAGAAAGUGGCGGGUUGCUUGAAAUGCAGGUGCAGCUGAACUUUUCUCUGAGCUAUAAGCAUAUCUAUUUAGUCUGCCUAAAAAACAGAUUAUUACCUUUGCUGCAGCUAACAUAAAGGAGACUAGUUCUUGUGCUGACUGAUGCAGGAUUCACAGAGACAGCUUCGGCUGACUUUGUAAACUCGAUCUCAAAUCAAGUAGGACUACCCGCUGAACUUAAGCAUAUCAAUAAGCGGAGGA